rnacentral:lncRNA from 1 species
CCUAACCUAAGAAUCAGAUUCGAAUUUAAUUUGAAUCAGGAGCUAGGGUUUGCAACACGUGCUAGCAUGUUCAUCUUGCAAACAUGAUCUAAUCCAAUUAGACCCUUGAUCAAUUCCUUGUGUGUGACCCAUUGGGUUCCUUAUCUUAGCCAGCAGUAGGUGCAGGUGCAAGUUGACCUAACCUGAUUAGAAUACCUCUAAUCCAAUUUAGGUUCAAUUUAGUGCUAAACCUGACUUAGCAAUCAGAACCUUUCUGAUGCUUUGAUCUAAUCAAACUCUUUGAUCCGAUCAACCCACAAGACAUGAUUGACGUCUAGCAACGUAUCAUGUCUACCCGGAAGAUGAGGAAUGUAUUGGACAAAUCCAAACAUACCCUUCAGUGGCAAGUUACUGUGCAAUUCAAUCCCUCA